rnacentral:lncRNA from 1 species
GCACAGGUUCCUCAGGCACAAGACUCUGCAGGCUAUUUUGGUUGGUCCUGCCAUGAAGAUUACUGCAAAUCCACUGAGGAAAAAAACCAAGGAGGCAUCAGAAGCUAAUAUUGGUGACGAGAAGGAUAAAAGCAGAAACCCAGCAACAAAUACUUUGCAUGUUUGAGUGAGAGACUUGAAACUUUCCCCAGCUUGUGAGUAAUAUCAGAUUUCCCCCUCCUUGUCCCCACCCUCCUACUGAGAUCAAAAGACAAUAUUCCUGGCUUUUUGUAAGCGCUGUGCCAUCUGCACAGCUCCAUUUGCAGCACCAAAGUCCGACUCACCCUCUGUUCCCCCACUUAGAUGUAUGAUACCAUCUCUGCUGCCAGAGAUCUGAUGUGGUAGGAGCAGUUUCCUUAUAUGUGAGCCUAACAAAUUGAAACCUGCUCCCUGUGCUCAGUCCUAGCUCAAACAGCUUUCCACAAAGUCAAACAUCAAGAUCACAGUCAAUGUUUUGAGGCAAAAAAUGAGGAAUGCAUGCUGAUUUUUUUACUGCCACAAGUGCAGUGGACAAAAAUGCUGUUUAUUAAAUAUUUGUAGCCUGAUGGAAUUAUCUAUUCUCUUGUUACACUGAUAAAGGUAAUAUAGAUAGGAAGCCAGGUGAAAUGUUCUUAAAAUGGUGGCCUCUCUGUCACCAUUCAAAGACCUGUUGAAACUGCAGCUGACUGAGGACCCACCUGGCCUUGGUGGUCUGGAGAACACUGCUUAUCUUAGUGCAGCAUGACAAAUGCAAGCUUCCCAUGGGUAUUUCCGGCCCUGGUGGUAGUGCUGAGAGAGGACAGAUGAUGGCUCUCUCAAAAAGUUAUGGGCCAAAUCAGUUGA